UAAGGUGACUAUAGCGGCAGUGUCCACCUCUUCCCAUUCCGAACAGAGAAGUUAAGCCUGCCUGCGCCGAUGAUACUGCAGUGAAAUGUGGGAAAGUAGGUCGUCGCCAACC
rnacentral:rRNA from 1 species